rnacentral:rRNA from 1 species
AUUGAACGCUGGCGGCAGGCCUAACACAUGCAAGUCGAACGAGUGGCGGACGGGUGAGUUAUGUCUGGGAAACUGCCAGAUGGAGGGGGAUAACUACUGGAAACGGUAGCUAAUACCGCAUACCAGCAGAUGUGCCCAGAUGGGAUUAGCUUGUUGGUGGGUUAACGGCUCACCAAGCCGACGAUCCCUCGCUGAUCUGAGAGGAUGACCAGCCACACUGGCACUGAGCCACGGUCCAGACUCCUACGGGAGGCAGCAGUGGGGAAUAUGUACCCAUGGGCGCAAGCCUUCUACAGCCAUGCCGCGUGGAUGAAGAAGGCCUUCGGGUUUUAAAGUACUUUCAGCGGGGAGGCGUUACCCGCAGAAGAAGCACCGGCUAACUCCGUGCCAGCAGCCGCGGUAAUUC